UUAACUUUUUAACCUAAACAUACUAACCAGAGAAACCCAUGGUGAAACUCUGUAACCGUGACUAUGCUGGUGACCCCAGGCUUCUCCUCUGAGCUUCCCACUCCAGGGCGCAUACGAGCACAGCACUCUUUUGCAUCAUGUUUCUACCCUUGCAUUCCUGACCAGUGCUGUCAGAUCAAAGGAGCGGGCUCCAGGUGACCACUCAGUACCAGGCUUGAAGCUUCUCAGAGCUGACAUGGAAGCUGAGGUCUAGCUGCCUAGCAAAGCAAUGGUUUCCAUUAAGCCAUGAAUCUUGCCCUGUAGGGAUGGAGCUUUAAAAAAUGCAUAAAUUAUUUAAUGUGAGGGCUUCCCUGAUGACUGAUAAAAUCAAAUUAGCUGCUGUGGGUUAAGGAUGAAUUUGAACCAGAGUCCCUUCUUUUGAAGAGACGGUGACAAAUCUAGUUGAUAGGUCUGCAUGGCAAAGCUUUGGUAGAAAAUUUAACAAAAUCCUUUGUUAGGCAAAGUGAAUGAGACUGUCUUCAGUUAUGAGGUGGUUUUUAUAAAAUUUCUCUUACAAUGAUUAUUUUUUUAUCUCAUUAUUAAAGCCAUACCCACUCACUCAUACCAAUUUUAUUUUAAAAUCCUAGGGGGGGAAAUCACCCAUAAUUCUCUUACUACAGCCAAAUCUGACAUUUGAGCAAGACUUUUCAUACUUUUGUCUGUAUGAGUAUGAAUUGUGCUCCAACAUUUAAGUUAAAUAUGCAUGCAUAUAGAUAGAAUUUGCAUGCAUACUUAUAUAUGCAUAUAUAUGGAUAUUUACUUUCCUGGUAUUUUCAUCUUUUAAGAGUUUAAGAAACAACUUGGCAACUAAGAGUAUUUGUUGCUGUUGCAGAGUCUCGAAGAGUCAUGGUACCUCACAACCAUCUGUAACUGUAGUUCCAGGGGGUCCAACACCUUCUUCUGACCUCCAUGGCCACCAAGCACAUAUGCAGUGCAAAUGCACACAUAGAGGCAAAACAUUCAUAUACAUAAAAUGAAAUCAAUAAGUCCAAAGGAUAAAUAAAAUUGCUGGUUUAAAUGGGAAUAUAACAUAUUCUACCUUCUGCUGCAUUUGGGUUGUUGCUUUGGGAUGGUGGCUCCUGUAAAAUACACAAGUAUAUGGCAUCAAAACCUUGUAUAAGAAUUACUUUAUACAUGUCAAUCAUCUCCAACACGUUUCCUGGUUUAGUAAGUGUAAUUACAGUCUCGUUGCCCUUUGAAUUGACUAAUGAAAUGCAUUGCUUUAAGGCUUCCAAUCAAUAACUUUCUAUUUUGUAAGUCAAAGUGGUGUGGGAAGAGGUCGGCUGCUGCCAUGUUUCUCUCCAAAUAUAUGUUUUCCUAAUUCACUAAGUGAGUAAUUACAACUGCUCUAACCAAGACUGUAUGUUUGGAAGUAAAAAUGUAUCACUUGUAAUCUGAACAAUUUCCUGCUCACAUACAAUCUGCUACUAGUGUGUUUCUCAUUCAAAUGAGCAUGCCAGAGGAGCCAAACUUAAUAAUAGCUUUAAUAGCAGAUGUUUAAUUUUAUACUCUCUCUUAAAGUUCCAGUUCAUAACCCAUGUUGUUACUAUUUUAAACUCUUGCCUUCUUUUACUGAUUGGUUGUUGUUUUGUUUUGUUAUUUUUUUAAGAUAGGGUCUUUGUCCUUAAGCUGGCUCUGAACCCAGGAUACUCCUGCCUCCAUCUACUUAGUGUGGGACCACAGGCAUGCCUUGAUAGCUUUUCUUCUGUUCUCUUUGAUGGCUUUUUGUAAUUACUUUUUGAAAUAAUUAUAUUCAGAGUCCAUGAGGCCUUGUACCAAGUUCCACAGUGAUUGUCCUUCCAAAUGUCCAUUCUUAAGUUUCUUCUCCCCAUAUUAUAGACUUGGAAUUACAGACAUCUACAAUUAUGGAACCAAAAUAUGACUUCUGCUCAAUAGGGUAGCAACACACACACACAUACACACGCAUACAUACAUCUUUUCUUCACAGUGGCAUUUUUGAGCCCUAUUGCCCUUGAUGUGUGAAGGAGGCACAUCAUUGUACACUGUGGUCCAAACUUAAAUGUAAUGACCACUUAUGAAUAUUAAGAUAAUAAUGUAAAGUAGUAUUAAGUGCCUAUGGUCAUGAGGACAUAGUUUUGUGUGCUUACACAAAAGACACAGGAAGGAUGAAAACUAUAUGCUUCCUGCUUCCUGCCUGACUUAUGGGGGAAAAAAAGCCAUAGAUAUAGAGAAAUAAACUCUCCCUAUCAAAAUAAAAAGUAGGAAUGAUUCAAGAGAAAAUCCUUGGGUAGGGCAUGAGAUUACACGACCUAUGUACCAGAAUUUAGGAGCCUGAAGCAGGAAGAUCCUAAAUUCAAAGCCAGCCUGAGCAAUAUAGUAAGUUCUGGUCCAGCCUAGUAUACAGAGUAUGCUGAUUAGUGUUAUAUCAACUUGACACAAGUUAGAGUCAUUUGGG
rnacentral:lncRNA from 1 species